rnacentral:misc_RNA from 1 species
AAGUCGUAACAAGGUUUCCGUAGGUGAACCUGCGGAAGGAUCAUUAUGAAUUUGAAACAAGUAGCUUUACGCUGCUUUCAUUUUCUGUGAACUGUUCACUUGGCCUUCUUUUGAAGGACUUGUGAUAUUUGUAUUCUUGAUUUCUAUUCCAUCCUUUCUAUUUUAUUGUUUCUCCUUGUGAGAAUCGAUUUAAAAGAAAACAAAACCAAGACAACUUUCAGCAAUGGAUCUCUUGGCUCUU